GAUGAACGCUAGCGACAGGCUUAACACAUGCAAGUCGAGGGGCAGCACAGGUAGCAAUACCGGGUGGCGACCGGCGCACGGGUGAGUAACGCGUAUGCAACUUACCUAUCAGAGGGGGAUAACCCGGCGAAAGUCGGACUAAUACCGCAUGAAGCAGGGGUCCCGCAUGGGGAUAUUUGCUAAAGAUUCAUCGCUGAUAGAUAGGCAUGCGUUCCAUUAGGCAGUUGGCGGGGUAACGGCCCACCAAACCGACGAUGGAUAGGGGUUCUGAGAGGAAGGUCCCCCACAUUGGUACUGAGACACGGACCAAACUCCUACGGGAGGCAGCAGUGAGGAAUAUUGGUCAAUGGGCGUAAGCCUGAACCAGCCAAGUCGCGUGAGGGAUGAAGGUUCUAUGGAUCGUAAACCUCUUUUAUAAGGGAAUAAAGUGCGGGACGUGUCCCGUUUUGUAUGUACCUUAUGAAUAAGGAUCGGCUAACUCCGUGCCAGCAGCCGCGGUAAUACGGAGGAUUCGAGCGUUAUCCGGAUUUAUUGGGUUUAAAGGGUGCGUAGGCGGCCUUUUAAGUCAGCGGUGAAAGUCUGUGGCUCAACCAUAGAAUUGCCGUUGAAACUGGGGGGCUUGAGUAUGUUUGAGGCAGGCGGAAUGCGUGGUGUAGCGGUGAAAUGCUUAGAUAUCACGCAGAACCCCGAUUGCGAAGGCAGCCUGCCAAGCCAUGACUGACGCUGAUGCACGAAAGCGUGGGGAUCAAACAGGAUUAGAUACCCUGGUAGUCCACGCAGUAAACGAUGAUCACUAGCUGUUUGCGAUACAGUGUAAGCGGCACAGCGAAAGCGUUAAGUGAUCCACCUGGGGAGUACGCCGGCAACGGUGAAACUCAAAGGAAUUGACGGGGCCCGCACAAGCGGAGGAACAUGUGGUUUAAUUCGAUGAUACGCGAGGAACCUUACCCGGGUUUGAACGCAUUCGGACCGAGGUGGAAACACCUUUUCUAGCAAUAGCCGUUUGCGAGGUGCUGCAUGGUUGUCGUCAGCUCGUGCCGUGAGGUGUCGGCUUAAGUGCCAUAACGAGCGCAACCCUUGCCACUAGUUACUAACAGGUGAUGCUGAGGACUCUGGUGGGACUGCCAGCGUAAGCUGCGAGGAAGGCGGGGAUGACGUCAAAUCAGCACGGCCCUUACAUCCGGGGCGACACACGUGUUACAAUGGCGUGGACAAAGGGAAGCCACCUGGCGACAGGGAGCGAAUCCCCAAACCACGUCUCAGUUCGGAUCGGAGUCUGCAACCCGACUCCGUGAAGCUGGAUUCGCUAGUAAUCGCGCAUCAGCCAUGGCGCGGUGAAUACGUUCCCGGGCCU
rnacentral:rRNA from 1 species